rnacentral:rRNA from 1 species
AUUGAACGCUGGCGGCAGGCCUAACACAUGCAAGUCGAGCGGAUGAAGGGAGCUUGCUCCUGGAUUCCGCGGCGGACGGGUGAGUAAUGCCUAGGAAUCUGCCUGGCAUUGGGGGAUAACGUCCGGAAACGGGCGCUAAUACCGCAUACGUCCUGAGGGAGAACGUGGGGGAUCUUCGGACCUCACGCUAUCAGAUGAGCCUAGGUCGGAUUAGCUAGUUGGUGGGGUAAAGGCCUACCAAGGCGACGAUCCGUAACUGGUCUGAGAGGAUGAUCAGUCACACUGGGACUGAGACACGGUCCAGACUCCUACGGGAGGCAGCAGUGGGGAAUAUUGGACAAUGGGCGAAAGCCUGACCCAGCCAUGCCGCGUGUGUGAAGAAGGUCUUCGGAUUGUAAAGCACUUUAAGUUGGGAGGAAGGGCAGUAAGUUAAUACCUUGCUGUUUUGACGUUACCAACAGAAUAAGCACCGGCUAACUACGUG